rnacentral:lncRNA from 1 species
GGCUUGUUUCGCCCCGCCACUUGGUGUUCUUCGUGAGUGGAAAGUGGCGUCAUCUGUUGACAAAAAAAAAUGCAGCUCUUUAAGAAAUCAUAUUACCUUGCCAUGGGAAAAUAUGAUCUUUUGUCAAUUGAAUUUUAUUUAUUUUUUGUCGACUAACUUUUUUGCAUUCUGUGUCAAGAUAGAUUGUUGAGGUUGGAAAUACUGUAAUGGGGUGCAAUGGAUUUAUAAUAUACCGGUAGUUAGUAUUCAUAAAUACAUAAAAUCUGUGCUGUAAAAAUGCAAAACUAAAACGAGUGCAUAUUCCUUUGACUUUAUAGCAUUCUGUUUAUCAAAAUAACCAAUCAAUGGUUGUUUUGAUAAACCAUCGACACACACAAAUAUUUUCUUUUGUGACCGCAUUAAAUGCGUCUAGAAUCGCUACUCUGAUGCUCCGUAAAAGCAUGCAUAUUCAAUCAGUAGCCAGUUAGCGACAGCAUCAGUUCCUGUGUCUAAUAUCUCCUCUCACUAUUUAUCUGGGGGUCGGCCCUAAAAACCCAAAUCGUUCCCGAUCGACCAUAGGGUCCAAUCGUUAAUUCGACCCUAUAUUUAUGCCAAUCAACGAUUGAAUGGAUUUCAUUAAUAGUCAGUUACAAACAAACGAAGCCGCCGAAGUAAGGGCCGUUAUAUGGUAUAGUAUUCGAUAGUGGGGUACUGCACUCUUUUUAUUAAUUAAUCAUCAUCACACUUAUUGGCAUAAAUAGGAUACGUUUGGCCACCAAAACAAAGACAGUUUGCUAUAUUGCAGAAAUUACGUUCGCGUCCGCCAUGUUGUUGGGGUCCCUAACCAAUGUUACGAACUAUUACGCUUUUCUAACAUUGAAGAGUCCAUCCAGGGUCGAAUGCAAUAAUAUAUUUUUUCGUGGAAAAUAAAUUGUUAUAAAAACAAAACUCGGAAUAUCAUAAAAUAAAUAAUUUGUUAAUCAAAAUAAUUUUUGUCAGUGAACAAUUAGAUUUGAAUUUGAUAAAAUUAUUGGUGGGGCUGGCAGUCCCCUUAAUGACCAGCGGCCCUACUGUAUUAUGAAUUUGUUGUUUACGCCAUCAGAAUAAAAGCUAUCUCAAAGACCUAUAUAUCGAUGAACUAUCAAUACACUGUACAGUAUUUUAAUAGGUGCUUUUGGAAACUGCACAAUACUGUAUCUAUCCCCACAGAUGUAAACAACGGUUUUGUUUAAAUGGACACCUCUGGCGAUGUAGAUUCCCAAAAAAUUACAAAAAUUCUUAAUACUGUACUUUCGUCCGCAGAUAACAGGAAGUUCUGCGAGUUUAGUGUAAUGAUAUUUUCCUAUAGAACUGAUUUCGUAGUUUUAAAUCGGUUCUAUGGGAAAAAAUACCAUCACAAUCUUUCUGUUAUAAAUCGUAAAAGCCUUUCCAUUAAUGAAAAUAUGCUAAAAGCGGAAAUUUGAUACAUAAGAUAACCGAUAAUUUAUCAAAAAUUAAUCUAAAAAGGAGAUCUAAAAAGGAGAAAAAAAAGGAAAAAAGGAAAAAAUCUAAAAGGAGAAUCUAAAAAGGAGA